CUUCGACUAGUUUUGCAUCAGGUGGGGGAAUUCGUAAAUACUUAAUCCACAAUGCCAACAGUAUAGGGGCGAGAAAUGAAAUUGGUACUGUACAACACAAUGCUUCUGAUAAACACAAAUAGAGACCAUACAAAACGUCAAGGGAAUGCUUCUGUGGACCAAAAAUGCUUACUAGCCAGCAUAAAGAGCAAAGAAUGUCAAGCAAACGAGCAUUUCUACACCACUACUGGCCGUAAGGAGAUAAGUCAUUUUCCUACAUUCUCACAGAUUGAGAAUUGCUAUACAGAAGGACUGAGGAACCUAGUGCUACAUUACAGGCAGUGCCAAAGUGCUUAGAAGUGAACAGCAAUUACACAGAAAAGGGUAACAGGUUUGUUGGAAGCUAAAACCAUCAACAAAAGCUUUUUCUAAUGAAUAUUUUUUUAAUGGUGUAAUAGCCAGACUGAUGUGUCUGCAAGAUAUUGAACUGCUUCAUAAAGUAAAUAUGCAACAGUUUUGAGUGAAUCACACUUAUUUUCUUUGAUUAGUCUGACUGUGGUGGUAGAAAAUCAUAUUUAACCAAAUUUCUAAUAUAUUUGCAUUUUGCUUAUUUUAAUGGAUAUAGUUCACAAGGAUCCAUAACAUAGUAAU